AACGAACGCUGGCGGCAAGCUUAACACAUGCAAGUCGAGCGGGCGCUUUCGGGCGUCAGCGGCGGACGGGUUAGUAACGCGUGGGAACGUGCCCUUUGCUCUGGAAUAGCCCUGGGAAACUGGGGGUAAUACCGGAUGUGCCCUGAGGGGGAAAGAUUUAUCGGCAAGGGAUCGGCCCGCGUCUGAUUAGGUAGUUGGUGAGGUAACGGCUCACCAAGCCGACGAUCGGUAGCUGGUUUGAGAGGAUGAUCAGCAACACUGGGACUGAGACGCGGCCCAGACUCCUACGGGAGGCAGCAGUGGGGAAUCUUAGACAAUGGGCGCAAGCCUGAUCUAGCCAUGCCGCGUGGGUGAUGAAGGCCUUAGGGUCGUAAAGCCCUUUCGCCGGGGGAGAUAAUGACGGUACCCGGUAAAGAAACCCCGGCUAACUCCGUGCCAGCCGCCGCGGUAA
rnacentral:rRNA from 1 species